CUUCGGCUGCAGUGAAGGAGAGACCGCAUGUUUCCGUUGCAGGCCGUGUCAGUGGCACUGCAACAACGGGGUCACCCUCCGUCUCAACCCAGACCUUACACCCCACCCACUAGGCCUCAAUGCACAGGGAACUGUGGAAACGGCCAGAGCGGUCAUAGAGACCAGAGAGCGUUGGAGAGCUCCGACUCCACAGAGAGAGAUGGUCAGGCUGUGUAGUUACAGAUGACAGUAAUAGCCAGGCUAGGGUUAUAGGCGAUCGGUACGUCCCACCUCGUCCUCUGUCUGAAUCACAGAGCUCUGUGGUCCACCAACAACAAAUGGCAGCCACCAGAACACAAGCAACACAAGAAACACGAGGAAUGGGGACACAGACUGUCACCAACAUCACCUCGAAAUGUCCAACAUGUCAUACCGAUCCCAACCACCAGAGGGCAGGCCAGUCACAGAGAUGAGUCUAUGAGACAACAGACAGACAGAGCAUUAUCAGACAGAUCCAGGAGGGAGGGAGAAGAGCACACGCCCUGGAGAAAAUCAACAGCCAGAGAGCUCAAGGCUGGACCUGGGCACCACCCAUCAAUCAUCCCUUUAAACAAGUGUCGUAACACUAACACGGAGAAUAGAGUGCAUUCAGAGACCCACUACCUCUGUACUAGACGCUCCCCUCGUCACCAAUGAUGUAAAAGACUUGAGAGGUAAGCAGCUGCAGCAUAAAGGACAGGAAGAAGAAUAAGAGGUACAGGGGAGGAGACCUUCCAGAUGAGAGAGAGAGGAGAAAAGGAGGUCACUGCUGAGAGCAUAGUUAACAGGCUUUCAGAGGAGGUUGAGACACUUCAGGAAAGAGCAGGCGUUCUGCUCAUGCUGAAGCAGAGGAAAAAGAUUAGUGAAAAGGGAAGGAGAGGAGAGAGGUGGGUAGGACAGGAGAGGAGGGGAGGUCAAAUCCCGAGGUAUCCCUUUAAGAGUUGUGAACAACACUAGCAACUACAGUACAUCCCUUUACCACAGGAUCUGUUUCUGCAUAUUUAAACAUUUAUAACAAUGCCCUUGGGAUUCUACAUUAAAACAAAAGCCAGACAUUGCAAGAUAAUCCGUUUAUUUAUUUUCCCCCGAUACAUAUUCAAGUUUCUCAUGAAUAUAUUUACUUUGAUAGAAUAUAAAUUCUAGUAAACCGUUUACAGCAACAAUAAUCAAAUGUAUACUAUACAGCGCUGGAUAAAUAUUUCUUUUAAAUCUUCACUAGCUCUUCUUCAUAACCUAGAAUAGAAACACUGCACUUAAUUUGUUUUCACAUAGAAAAAAUUGCACCCGUUCACCAUAAACACAUUGGAUGACCCCAUUUAGGAGUUAAAGCAAAGAAGGCAAUAUAAUAAUAACACGAUGGGUUGUCAAGCGGUUGUGACCGUCUUAAAAUCAAAAGUGCAUUCUAGAACCACAACACAUCAAAUAACCUGUUUGACACUAUCUCAUUUACAUGUUUGUUACAUGACGACCGUGUUGUCGCCUCUGUGACGGGGAUGUGCAAUAAAGUGUUGUUUCCCUAAAAGAAAACACUAACUAUCUGUGAUAGUAAAAGCAAAACGUUAUUCUGUCUUCCAGUGAACCUCCAGUUUAGUCCUAUUUAUAGUAUCCUCUCUUUUCUAAUCACAUUUCUAAUCAAAUACUCAAAUAUUGAUAAUAAAUACUCAAUAAUCCAAUAUUGAUACUGUUGUUCCAAUGAACUGGCAAAACACACCUAGUGAUAACUUGAAAUGCUGUCAUUUCAUUUCAGUCUAAAGAAAAUCCUAUUUGAAUUCACAAUAGUAGCUAUCUAUCUGGUUUUGUCACUGACAGUAAUACACAGACAUAUUCUCAGCGACGUUAUGUUGACCACUUUCAACGAGAGUCUGCUACACACAAAUCUUGUACUCAAGUACUCAACUAAAAAUGUGUCACCUUACAUAGUUUAGCGAUAUAUAAAAUGACAUGAGCAAGUACAGUACAGUACUCCUCGAACCUUUAGAACACGAGAACCCUGGCUCUUUCACGUGAAGAGUAAUGCAUUGCGAUUUGUACAUAAGGCUGUGGAGGAAGACACAACGUAAAAUGGAGACGAAAUAGGACAUUCUUUCUGACAUUGUUUUCCCAAAGGGCAACUAUGUGUGUAGUUAACUGACUAAACUGUCCAUUUCAAUGUAUGGGUAUUCUCUCUGAUGGUCUGAGUAACCCAAUGAAUAGUCUAGUCAACAUUUAUCAAUAAAAACAUUUGUGCAACUUCUGAAAUAAAAUUGAAAAAGGCUA